AUUGAACGCUGGCGGCAUGCCUAACACAUGCAAGUCGAGCGGAUGAACGGGGCGUUCGCCUCUUUGCAGCUGCCGACGGAUGAGUAAUUCCUACGUAUGUAACUUGUCUAUGAGAAUGAGGUACGUUAGCGGGCCCUAAUAUCACAUAGGUUCAUAUUUCGAAAGGGGUGGAUCGUCAGAGCACGAUCUAUCUGCUGACCCUAGGACGGAUUAGCUAGUUGGUGUGGUAAGGGCCUACCAAGGCGACGAUCCGUAACUGCUCUGAGAGGAUGAUCAGCCACACUGGAACUGAGACACGGUCCAGGCUCCUACGGGAGGCAGCAGUGGGGAAUAUUGCACAAUGGGCGAAAGCCUGACGCAGCAAUGCCGCGUGUGUGAAGAAGAUCUUCGGAUUGUAAAGCACUUUAAGUUGGGAAGAAGGGAAGUAAGUUAAUCCCUUGCUGUUUUGACGUUACCAACAGAAUAAGCCCCGGCUAACUUCGUG
rnacentral:rRNA from 1 species